rnacentral:snRNA from 7 species
ACACUCACCUGGUAGGAAGCCACCCUGAGCAUGAAGAUGGUUUUCAUCAGGGAAACGGUGUUUGUUGGGUGAGGCUUAUCCCUUUUGCUGUAGGGGUGCUGGCUCCUGCCGUGUCUCCAAACACAGGAAACUCAACUGCAGAAUCUGCAGAAGCGGGGACUGUGUUCGCAUUCUCCCUGU